rnacentral:tRNA from 2 species
GGCGUGAUAGCUCAGUAGGUAGAGCAACGGAUUGAAAAUCCGUGUGUCCCCAGUUCGACCCUGGGUCUCGCCACCA